GGCCAUUAGCAGCUGAGAGGCAGCAGUUCUGGCUUUGGGACAAGACGCAGUGAAGCCAAAACAGAAGAUUGUGGAGUUAGCAACCAGGUGAGCUGUCACUGGAGGACCUGAUGGAUGGGAAAGAGAGUUCCCUCCUUCCUGAGGCGGGAAAUGAAGCUAAUCAGACCUCAGACACCUUAAUCCAGCUCUGAUCUGAUUAAUGACCCUGAAGACUGUGAACUCAUCAGCACCCUGGCAUCUAUCACUGCCUUGCAUCCUGCCCCUUCUGCUGUCCACCACCCAGCCCAGCUCUUCUGCACAAAACUCUGGGCUCCAUCUCUCUGCCCUGCACAGCAUGGGCUGUGCGCCAGCUGCUGUGGUCUUGGACAACCCUCUUACAGGCCCUCAGGGUCUGGUCCAAACAUCUCCACCCA